UGGGGAAUAUUGGACAAUGGGGGCAACCCUGAUCCAGCAAUGCCGCGUGUGUGAAGAAGGUUUUCGGAUUGUAAAGCACUUUCGGCGGGGACGAUGAUGACGGUACCCGCAGAAGAAGCCCCGGCUAACUUCGUGCCAGCAGCCGCGGUAAUACGAAGGGGGCUAGCGUUGCUCGGAAUGACUGGGCGUAAAGGGCGUGUAGGCGGUUUGUACAGUCAGAUGUGAAAUCCCCGGGCUUAACCUGGGAGCUGCAUUUGAUACGUGUAGACUAGAGUGUGAGAGAGGGUUGUGGAAUUCCCAGUGUAGAGGUGAAAUUCGUAGAUAUUGGGAAGAACACCGGUGGCGAAGGCGGCAACCUGGCUCAUAACUGACGCUGAGGCGCGAAAGCGU
rnacentral:rRNA from 1 species